rnacentral:rRNA from 1 species
AAGUAAUAUUGACGCUGAUGCACGAAAGUGUGGGGAUCAAACAGGAUUAGAUACCCUGGUAGUCCACACUGUAAACGAUGAUAACUCGCUGUCGGCGAUACAUAGUCGGUGGCCAAGCGAAAGCGAUAAGUUAUCCACCUGGGGAGUACGACCGCCAGGUUGAAACUCAAAGGAAUUGACGGGGGCCCCCACAAGCGGAGGAACAUGUGGUUUAAUUCGAUGAUACGCGAGGAACCUUACCCGGGCUUGAAAUGCACAGGAAUGAUGAGGAAACUUAUCCGCCAGCAAUGGUCUCUGUGUAGGUGCUGCAUGGUUGUCGUCAACUCGUGCCGUGAGGUGUCGGCUUAAGUGCCAUAACGAGCGCAACCCCUAUCAUUAUUUACUAACAGGUAAAGCUGAGGACUCUAGUGAGACUGCCACCCUAAGGUGAGAGUAAGGUGUGAAUGACGUCAAUAUCAC